rnacentral:rRNA from 1 species
GUGGGGAAUAACGUACGGAAACGUACGCUAAUACCGCAUAAUUAUUACGAGAUAAAGCAGGGGCUUGAUAAAAAAAAAUCAACCUUGCGCUUUUAGAAAAUUACAUGCCGGAUUAGCUAGUUGGUAGAGUAAAAGCCUACCAAGGUAACGAUCCGUAGCUGGUCUGAGAGGAUGAUCAGCCACACUGGGACUGAGAAAAGGCCCAGACUCCUACGGGAGGCAGCAGUGGGGAAUAUUGGACAAUGGGGGGAACCCUGAUCCAGUCAUGCCGCGUGUGUGAAGAAGGCCUUUGGGUUGUAAAGCACUUUCAGCGAAGAAGAAAACUUAUAAAAUAAAAAGUUAUAAAAAUGACGGUACUCGCAGAAGAAGCACCGGCUAACUCCGUGCCAGCAGCCGCGGUAAGACGGAGGGUGCAGGCGUUAAUCAGAAUUACUGAGCGUAAAGGGCAUGUAGGUGGUUUGUUAAGCUUUAUGUGAAAGCCCUAUGCUUAACAUAGGAACUGAAUAAAGAACUGACAAACUAGAGUGCAGAAGAGGAAGGUAGAAUUCCAGGUGUAGCGGUGAAAUGCGUAGAUAUCUGGAGGAAUACCAGUUGCGAAGGCGACCUUCUGGGCUGACACUGACACUGAGAUGCGAAAGCGUGGGGAGCAAACAGGAUUAGAUACCCUGGUAGUCCACGCUGUAAACGAUAUCAACUAGCUGUUGGAUUCUUAAAGAAUUUUGUGGCGUAGCUAACGCGAUAAGUUGAUCGCCUGGGGAGUACGGUCGCAAGGCUAAAACUCAAAUGAAUUGACGGGGGCCCGCACAAGCGGUGGAGCAUGUGGUUUAAUUCGAUGCAACGCGCAAAACCUUACCUACUCUUGACAUCCAAAGUACUUUCCAGAGAUGGAAGGGUGCCUUAGGGAACUUUGAGACAGGUGCUGCAUGGCUGUCGUCAGCUCGUGUUGUGAAAUGUUG